GUCCACCGGCACCACCAGCAGCUUCCCACCAGCAGCCAAACCGAGCACGGACAGGAGCAGAACCAGCGUCGCCGUGACUUGCGGAUGAGCGCUAAGCACUGGGGCCAUGUCUGCAGAAAUCUGGUGCGAGGACAACUAUUUCAUGCCCCUUCUGCCUGACUCCUGUCUACCAGCAGCUUCCCACCAGCAGCCAAACUGAGCAUGGACAGAAGCAGAACCAGCAUUGUCGUGACUUGUGGAUGAGCACUAAGCACUGGGGCCAUUUUUCUGCAGAAAUCUGUUUAUGCCUCCAAUGAAAAUCAUAUUGGGCAUCAAUGGCAUGGGAUAGUCAAAGACAAAGUCAAGUCUCUUCAGCCAAACGGAUCCGUGACUUAAAAGCUGCGUAAUUGUCAUCGGCUUUUGGAGAAAUUCUG